rnacentral:rRNA from 1 species
CCUACGGGUGGCUGCAGUGAGGAAUAUUGGUCAAUGGGCGCGAGCCUGAACCAGCCAAGUAGCGUGAAGGAUGACUGCCCUAUGGGUUGUAAACUUCUUUUAUAAAGGAAUAAAGUGAGGCACGUGUGCCUUUUUGCAUGUACUUUAUGAAUAAGGAUCGGCUAACUCCGUGCCAGCAGCCGCGGUAAUACGGAGGAUCCGAGCGUUAUCCGGAUUUAUUGGGUUUAAAGGGAGCGUAGAUGGGUUUUUAAGUCAGUUGUGAAAGUUUGCGGCUCAACCGUAAAAUUGCAAUUGAUACUGGCAGGCUUGAGUACAUUUGAGGUAGGCGGAAUGCGUGGUGUAGCGGUGAAAUGCAUAGAUAUCACGAAGAACUCCGAUUGCGAAGGCAGCUUACUAAGCUGCCACUGACAUUGAUGCUCGAAAGUGUGGGUAUCAAACAGGAUUAGAUACCCCAGUAGUC